rnacentral:lncRNA from 10 species
CAAUAAUCCAAAAAUGGUAAAAUUUCUUCUGGAGAAAGGGGCUGAUGUGAAUGCUUCAGAUAAUUAUCAAAGAACAGCCCUUAUUCUUGCUGUCAGUGGUGAACCACCAUGUUUAGUAAAGCUUCUUCUUCAGCAAGGUGUGGAAUUAUGUUACGAAGGUAUUGUGGAUUCACAGCUGAGGAAUAUGUUUAUUUCCAUGGUUUUACUGCAUAGAUACCCACAAUUCACUGCGAGCCAUGGAAAGAAGAAACAUGCUAAAUAGACACCUUAUUCUUGGCACUACAUGUGACUAAAGGAAGUUUGGAGCUUAUUCUUGGGGACUAUUCUAAGCCUGAGGAACCAACAACCCAAGGUACUAGGCUCUUGGAGCCUUACAUUCUUCACAUUUAGAAGAGUCUCACUCUGGUAACCCAGGCUGAGUGCAGAGGUACAAUCAUGGAUCACUGCAGCCUUAACCUUCUAGGUUAAAUCAAUCCUCCCACCUCAGCAUCCCAAGUAGCUGGGACUACAGGUGUGCGCCACGACAUCUGGGUGUAAAACACACAAAUCAACCCUAAUACUUUGAAGUCAAGAGGAGGAUCCACAAAGAAUUCAAAUAACUUAUUGAAAUUGCAGGAGAAGCAAAUGAUAUUUUUAGGAAAGAAGUCAAUGAUGUUCAGAACUGAAUUUGGAUGCUACUUGACAGGAUUUCACUAUGGACAGAAGAUCUUGACAAAUAUUUUAGUUAACAGUAAGAAAGAAGAAUUUGGAACUAAAAACACCCCUCAUCUAAGUUCUUAAAUUAAUAUGGCUACCAAUGAUGGAACAUUAAUGGAUCUGCAUAAUUUACUGGUUGUGAGCCAAUCUCUGAAGCCCAGCUGCUGCUGUCUCUGAUGUUUAUUCAGAGAGACCAGAGAGACUCCUGCCCAGCUGUCUACAGGUUGGAAACUUUUUUGGCUCUCCCUCAGACUGUCCACUAGAUUUCUGGUGGGAUCACUGUAUUUCCUUGCCCUGAAGAUCACUGCUUGGGUGAUGAACUUCAGCAACAUCUCUCAAUAAAGGUCUAGUAAAUCUCC